CAGUCGCCGCGGGAAUACAGAGGGUGCGAGCGUUAAUCGGAAUUACUGGGCGUAAAGCGUGCGUAGGCGGCUUUUUAAGUCGGAUGUGAAAUCCCUGAGCUUAACUUAGGAAUUGCAUUCGAUACUGGGAAGCUAGAGUAUGGGAGAGGAUGGUAGAAUUCCAGGUGUAGCGGUGAAAUGCGUAGAGAUCUGGAGGAAUACCGAUGGCGAAGGCAGCCAUCUGGCCUAAUACUGACGCUGAGGUACGAAAGCAUGGGGAGCAAACAGGAUUAGAUACCCCAGUAGUCCCUGUCUCUUAUAC
rnacentral:rRNA from 1 species